UACGUAGGUGACAAGCGUUGUCCGGAUUUACUGGGCGUAAAGAGCGCGCAGGCGGUCGAUCAAGUCGAGUGUGAAAGCCCCCGGCUCAACUGGGGAGGGUCACGCGAUACUGAUCGACUCGAAGGCAGGAGAGGGAAGUGGAAUUCCCGGUGUAGUGGUGAAAUGCGCAGAUAUCGGGAGGAACACCUAUGGCGAAGGCAGCUCGCUGGGACGUUACUGACGCUGAGACGCGAAAGCGUGGGGGAGCAAACAGG
rnacentral:rRNA from 1 species